CAGUCGCCGCGGUAAUACGUAGGUGGCAAGCGUUGUCCGGAAUUAUUGGGCGUAAAGGGCUCGCAGGUGGUUUCUUAAGUCUGAUGUGAAAGCCCCCGGCUCAACCGGGGAGGGUCAUUGGAAACUGGGAAACUUGAGUGCAGAAGAGGAGAGUGGAAUUCCACGUGUAGCGGUGAAAUGCGUAGAGAUGUGGAGGAACACCAGUGGCGAAGGCGACUCUCUGGUCUGUAACUGACGCUGAGGAGCGAAAGCGCGGGGAGCGAACAGGAUUAGAGACCCCCGUAGUCCCUGUCUCUUAUAC
rnacentral:rRNA from 1 species